rnacentral:rRNA from 1 species
AUUGAACGCUGGCGGCAGGCCUAACACAUGCAAGUCGAGCGAGCGGCGGACGGGUGAGUAUUGUAUGUGGAUCUGCCCGAUAGAGGGGGAUAACUCCUGUAAACGGUAGCUAAUACCGCAUACUCUCGGAUGUUCCCAUAUGGGAUUUGCUAGUAGGUGGGGUAAUGGCUCACCUCGGCGACGAUCCCUCUCUGGUCUGAGAGGAUGAUCAGCCACACUGGAACUGAGACACGGCCCAGACUCCUACGGGAGGCAGCAGUGGGGAAUUUUGGACAAUGGGGGAAACCCUGAUCCAGCCAUCCCGCGUGUAUGAUGAAGGCCUUCGGGUUGUAAAGUACUUUUUGCGGAGAGGCGGGAACUGCAGAAUAAGCACCGGCUAACUACGUGCCAGCCGCCGCGGUAAUAG